AAACCAGAACUAUGCAAAACAAUGCGACAGACCACAUGAUAUAUACAUGUACAGUCUGCUUACCUUUGAAGGCUUCCACACGUUUCACCACAAACCAGAACUAUGCAAAACAAUGCGACAGACCACAUGAUAUAUACAGUGCCAAGACAUCUUUUGAUACCUUAAAAUACUAUGAUUUCUUUUAGGUUCCCACUAUCGGAUGUUACAUAUAUUCAGAAACAAGCAUAAGCAUUUGUAUGGUCAGUUUGAAAUUGCUUCUCUCCAGACUUCCAUAACACUGUAGCUCGUCACACAGAAGUUAGCCAAAGAACCAAAGAACUAGUACAGAAAUAACGAUGAACAGCAAUGCUGACCAAAGCCAGCUUUAAUACUGUUUCAUGUUUUGAGGAAGGGGCAGAGGAAGGUGAGUCACAUUACCAGCACGUGCUGAUGUGCAAAGGGGGCUGCCCUUCAGGCAGCUACGCGUUAGAGAAGCUGUUCACCACUGGUGACGUUGCCAGAUCAGAGACAGGCUCACAUCCCAACCACCACAAAAAGACCACAACAAUUCUACAUCAGCUCCUGGCUUUAUUUAUGUAGAUGCUCUAACAGGCUCAGGGCCACAGCAGUAAACAGCAUUACUGAGGAUGAGUCUUCAGACGUUGUAUCCAAUCAGGCCGCGUUUGCCUAUGAUCUCACCAAUGUAAAACCACAUCAGCACCUCUGUGGCCACCAAACCGUUCCUCAGUGCUUCCUGAAAGAAAAAAAAACACAACACAAUUCAGAACAUGUGCUCCUGCAACAGCUGCCUUUCUUGCUCCUAUAACCAAACUCCAUGCAUGACUAGCAAAGUGGUCAUCCAAUUCACAAGACGACAGUUUAAGCAAAAAGCAGAUGCGCAAGUUAGUGUUUAUGAUGUUCACCCACACCUCAACAGGCCACAUUGUUACAAGGGUUCUAAAACGGUAAAUAUAGCUUCAGUUGGCAUUCAUGGUUUUUUGGAGCCCUUUAAGAAGCUUUUGCUAGACACAGCUGUUACCUACAGAUCUGUCACCUCACUCUCUUCACUUGAACAGAUAAUGAAGGGCCCAGGAGGGAUGACAGAACAGCUGUGGUCCAGGUGUGGAAGAGUUGAGACAAAGCUCAUAUAUUAUAACACUUCCAACUUUUGACUCAUAAAUUCCUUGAACUUCAAGUCUUACUGACAGCAGCUCAGUCGUUUUUAUGGCAUGAGCAAAGCACAUCAAGCUAGCAUGCCAGUAGUGAAGCCAGGUCUUGGAAAAUACUGCUCUGUGCGCUGAAUAUCUAUGGCUCACAGACUACCAUUGUCAGAGUCUGAAGAGGCAGCAGAACUGUUCUAUCCCUCAGCUUAUCCAGAAAAAAAAAAAGAUAAAUUUUUGUAUAUAUAAUUUUUUUUGGAAGUCUGGUACCAAACAAGAUUAAUCUUCAAAGUAUCUGCUGUCAUGCCAGCCCAGGUGACUGGGUUCAGAAACCUGACUUCAACACACAGCGAUUCCUAUGGGGAACAGUAUCACAAAGACAGAAAGCUGGGAGGUUUGCGAAGAACACCCCUGUACGUUCCUUCCCUAGCAAGUAAAUACUGACCUCAGCUGUGCUACCUGCUUCCUCUGUAAUAGCAUCAUUCUUCACCCCCUUUCCAAUUAAUCUGCAUGGAAGGACACUGUGAGACAAACACUUGACAAGAAGUGUACUCAACAGCUAUGGACUGACUGCUACAUGCUGGUUGCCCAGACAAGAGCUCAGUACAAUCGAAAGAAGACGCUCAUAUGCAAGACAAGGUAACUUAAAUAUAGUUGAAUUUACAGGGCUCUGGAGAGGAAUACCAGAAAUUCAUCGGGCGCAAGUCCAGUCUUAAUUGUGGGUGUGGAAUAAGCUUCCUCCUGGGCAAAUGAAGCCUAGGUACAUAACACUACACAAACACUUGCCAGGGCCUUUUCAUCUUCUUCAGGCUCAUUCAUUACUCGUGUCUUCAGGGGUGGGCUGGUGCGCCAGACCGAUGGCUGAUCUCACAUUGUGCUAUUUGGGCAUGGGUGCAGCGACACCCAGCACUGUCUCUGAGCAAGCCAUAGAUUUUAUUGGUACACCAAAUGUAUUUGUGAAUCGCAUGUGUGAGUUUUAAAGACGGUAUCAUAGUACUGGACAUGACUCCUA
ensembl:lncRNA